UAUCCCCAAGUCAAACAACCAUGUGAAAAGGAAAUAAAAUAAGAAUUAAAAAAGCACAGAGAAGGUGGUGGGCAGCAUUUGACAUCAGUUAAUUAGACCAUAAAGUAGUAUAGGAAUAAUUAGGAAAGCCAGUUUACUAGUACUUGCUAGCUAGUGCCUUGUAGUAGUAGUAGUAGCAGCAUGAAAAUAAUUACUAAAUAUUGAUGCUAAAAAAUGUUCAAGUGCUAAAUGAAUAAAUUGCUUACUCCAACCAUCACCAUCAUGGACAAAUUUGUAAUAGAUUCUAUGGAAGCUUGGAGAUGAUUUAGGGGUGGUAAGGGAACUUGAGAUCCGAACCUGGAAGUUGAUUCUACCUCGAAUCCGCGGCUGGAUUCGUCGAGGAUGUUAGGUUGGAUUCAAUUCACAAUAUUAUCGUACUUUAGUAAAUUGGAUAUAUCUUGAUGUAAAAAAAACUCUGAGUUGAGUGCUAUUCAAAGGACUUCGCAUUUAUAUAAAAAUCCCACCCUAAUUUAUUUAUAUCUAUAAGAAUUGGUGGAGCUCAAAAAUUGACCUUUACAUUCCACUAAAAUGAGAGAAUGAU
rnacentral:lncRNA from 1 species